CCUCAGUUCCACUCGUUAGGACUCUGACAUGAUAAGCUGGUUCCCACCACUUACUCCUGGUUCUGAGUGUAAUUGCAUUUCACAGGCAGACAGUGUGUGUGCGCGGAAUGAGUAAGCGGACGCCUCGGUGACUCAAUUUGUCUGAAAUCACUACAUCUCACCGCCGAUAUUACCGUCUUACACGUGUAAUUUUGUGUCUUUUGGAGGACGGGACUCUGUGAACGAGUAUUAGUCUGAGUUAGAAGGUAAACAGAUCAGGAGGGAGGGGGUGAGAGCAAGAGUGAGAGCGACAGAGUGACAGACAGAGGGGCAGAUGGAGGGAGGAUAAAAAAGGUGCAUUGCCAAUUUUUUGACUUUCAAAUUGGAGCAGAGCGUCCACCAUGAUGAGGGAGAUUGGAAACCUAUUAAAAACUAAGCUGAGAAAAACAAUUGGGUCCUAAUUUCUGCCAAGAUGAGCCAGACUCUGCUUGGACCGGGCGAAUAAACAUCUCCGACUCUGAUGAGGAUUUAAAGGUAGGAAACAGAGAGAGGGGAUGACAGAUCCACCCCCCCGAGUCAUGAAUCUGCAUUUGGAAGUCCUCCAGCUGGAUCCUGUUCGGGGUUUCCAUUUGGUGUUGACCUUGUGAUGACUUUCAGGUUCGCUGUUUUCCUCUUUUGUUAAUUUGAAAUGUUUGAUCAAUCCUUUAUUCAGAGAUGACUCAGGAGAGGUGACGAGAAAUGAGAAAAAGCAAAAACCAGAACGUCUUCUUGAGGUGGUCUAAAGAUAAAAGACUUAUUCUGUGUUCCAGUUGUACUCAGAAGUCGGGAUUUCCGAGCUCUGAGUUGGAGAUUCGUCUUUAUUUUUUACUGCCCAACGUCGAAUGGUGAACAUGGUGCCGACAUGCCACCGACUUGUUUACUGUAACGCUGUCAAUUCGGGUGUAGCGUCAUUCCCAGCUCCGACGUCCGUGGUAACUGGAACGCAGGAUUAGAUCUACUAUAGAUGUCAGAACAUGAAACAUCUAUGUCAGAAACUCUAUCCUGUUACUCAAACAUGUCAGGAACCGACUGCCUGCAGUGUCUGCAGACAAGACGAGCUUCAGGGUUCGUUCCGGUCGUACUUCGCCACUCCACGACAUUUUUGUUUGAAGACGGUUGAACGUUUGUGGAGGUUGUUGUGGUUUUAACCCCGAUAAAGGAAACAAAAACAUCCCUCAGACCGAGCUUCUCAUUAAGACCUUCUCAUUAAGACCUGGUUCUGGUCGCGCUUAUCCAAGGCUUGAUUGAUGAUGGGCAGCUGGACCCAAACCAAGUCUAGUACCCUGUUGCGGACGGACAAAAUUGUCACCCCAACUGUUUGUGAAGUUUGAUCAGCCUCCUGAUCACGUGGAGUUGGGGGGGGAGGAGCCUAUGAGAAGGUUACCUCAAGCCCAUGAGAAUUUGUGAGACAAUUCACGGCAAGCCAGUGGGCGGGGUUAAUGACAUCACAUGACAGGUGCGAACCCAAAACGGUCGACGAUGGAGGGUGUUUUAUCGGCAACAUUAGCGCUAAUGUUCAAAGGAGGGUGGGGCUACAUGAGUUUGGCCAAAAAUAACAUCCUGAUUUUUUUCUCUGAAAACUCGAUUUUUGAUUUCUAUUUUUUAUUCAUAUUAAAAAUAAAAAGUUUUUCUCUCACAACGAAACCACUGAAAACGAUGUAGUACAUAUGCCAAGUCAGUAAGUGGCGCUGUAACGCUGCGUGGGUACACUUAAAAGAGUUAAAACUGAGCAGAACUUUUUACGCUAACACCGUCUAGACGUUACAUAACUAGAUGCCAUCUGUUAUCUGUUUGUUGACUCUGGAGUAGGAGUGGCUCAGGCUAACGAUGGCUGCCACAGCUUAGACACAAGACAAGACGAGCUUUCAGAUUAGAUUAGAUAAUCUUAUUAACGACCAGAGUAGAAACUCAUUUAUCACAAGGUUAAUCCAUAAACACGACAAAAACACUGACAAGACAACCAAACAGAGUCCGCCUUCUUGAUCAGCUGAUGGAUAUAAUUUUGAUAAGAUGGUUCAUGCUGACUGAGUCUAAAAUACAGAAUCCAGGAGUAUUUCAGCGAUCACAUGAUCCAUCAGGUGAAAAAAAACACGUCCAACAGGAGGAUCUAUCAUCCUUGUUCUUGCAAAAACUCAAAUUAUCCGUCAUUACCAGAGUGGUCGGUCAGAGCAGGAAUAACGGAUUUUUCUGGUGCAGCCGCUCAUUUAGAAACUGAAGCUGAUUUUAGAUGUAAAAACGAGUCAAAUACUGAGCGGUGUUUAAGUGAAGUGAAUGUCAGCCCGUGUAAUCCGCUGUAUGGUCCUUAACUGAUGACGCCCUUCUAUAUCUUUAUGACUGCAUUUUAUAGGCAUCAAUAAGCGAUAAUGGCUUUCGCUUGGAUUCACUCCUGAAUGCACUUCAUGAAAAGAGACAAAUGCAUCAUGUCGCUCGUAUGUUGAGUGUGUUCGCGGAGUUUAACUAUGAUGUUGAAGCAGAAGAUAGAAAUCAACCAGAGUCCUUGAAGGAGCCCAAUUACUCUGCCUCUUCAUAACAGACGAACGUCGUCGCCGCAAUCAGACCUUAACAAGCGCAGGUCCUCCAUCUCGAGAUGCAAACAAUGUCGGGGAUGGAUGGGACCAGCUGUAUGAAAUAUUCAGCUGCUGUAUACUCAUUAUUUCACCGGAGCACUCAGCAUGGUGCAGCCCGGCUAAGUGGUGAUUGAUUGCUGGGAGAGAGGGAGAAACAAAGAGAGAUGGCGGAUCCUGUAUGCAAGAGGAGGAGGAGGAGGAGAAGGAGGAGAAGGAGGAGGAGGGAAAAAAGCUGCGGAAUAUUUCAGAGCUUUUAUGUCUGUGUGUGUGUGAGAGUGUGUGUCUGUGUGUGUGUGUGAGGCAGUAAAAUCAAGACACAGCACACAGUGUGACGCAACUGUAACCAGUUUCAAAAUUCAAUUAUCUCAGCGGCGACAAUAAAAAUGAAUGGAGCAACAAUAAAAUAAGUGUGAUGUCCCGGUUUCUACAACUCCGGGUUUGACUGCCGGUGGGAGUUAAUUUGAAUCUUCGGCGCCUUUUAAUCUCUGCCAAAUAAAAUGAUUAUUUCUGCUUUUUUUAUCUGGAGCACAAGAGACACAAACUUCAAACCAAAACUGAUGGACUAACUUUGUUUGUUUACCCUCCUAAUAACAGAAACAGGCGCUGAAUUCAGCACUGUGGUCUUCAGACUGUCCUGUAACAUGUACAGACGUUUAUACGAGCAGCACUGGGACAAAGUGGUCAUUUACUGUGAAACUGCCGAUUGGUCUCUGAAGCGUUCACAACAAUUAAAGUGGCAUUAAGGUCCCAUUCAUUAACAUGCGGAAGCAAUCAAGGUGUUUGGGUUUUAAAGUUCUGUCCAUAACUUACAGAAAAGUUCAAUAGUUUGGGAAAUUAGCUUGUUUGUUUUAAAGCGAUUAAAGGUCUUCUAUAAUGAUGUUAUUUAGCUAUUUACAACAUGUCCUAGUUGGGUUUAAACUCAAACAUCACGAGUUCAGCCUCUGUGGGGAUCUGAAACCUCUCGAUUCCUACCGUUAAUGAGGCGAGCUCUAAUAUGUGGUCAAAAAUGUGGUCAAAAAGGGAAUAUAAGCUGAUGUGUAAAGAUGCAGAGGCGGAAAAACACCAAAACAAUCAUGGCGAGCUCUCCAGAAGAACCCAGACAACAAACCCAGCGCUGAACUGACCCUCACUGUUAUUGCAGCAGUUUGAGGUGAAGUCACUAGUAUGAACAAAUUAGCAUCAAACUUAGCUAAACUUAAAAAGUGGUAUACAUGCCAAGAAAACCUCAGUAGAGUUGGAGAAAGCGCGACCACAUAAGGAGUGGGAGUGUUUUAACUCAUUCCUGUCGUGACAUCAUCACAGGAGCCAAUUCAAAUCCCCUUAUAGAGGCAGUUUUAAUUACAUAUUUUAACUAAAACAACACAGAGAUACUUUUGGCUAACAAAUUUUCAGAGGAAAACUAAAGUUCACAUAUACAGGGAAGAGAAAAUUAGCCGAGCACCGAGCUUGGACAAAAGACUGGAUACGUUGUUGAGGCCAAACAGGAAAUCUAAUUUAAAUGAUGAAUUUAAUUUACGCUAAACUAGCUCAAGGAAAGAAUAUUAAUUUAAAGCUGGUUUUAAUUUUCUCGCCUGCUUAAUUGUUUAUACUUUUAGUCAACAUUUAAUUUGAAGUAAUUUCUAAAAGGUAAAAGGACUAAAUUAAUAUUUUCACCUGCUGCCCGUCCCCAUGUACCUGAGUCACUGCCUGCUGGCCAGACGACUGAGAGCGGGAAAGUUUGUUGACUGAAAAGAGCAGAUUUGCCGAUAUAUAGUUACCUUUUAUUUACUUUAAUCUGUAGAGUGACACGUGUAAAUCCUGUAAUUUUCUCAUAAACCUUGGAUGUGACGCUGGAUCCACAGCUGCUUUUUGUUCAGACUGUGUGUAUUAGACCCACUCAGCGAUAGUUUUCUUCGGAAACUAGAAGCCACUACAUUCGUGCAAGAACAGCUUUCUAUGAGAAAUCUGUUUCACUUUAUUUUUAUACAGUCCAAACAAAAGACCUGUAUUACCCAACAUUAUCACAGGUUACCAUUUCCCCCUGUUUAGUCUACGUUAGCAUCAUGCUAAGGUCAUUUUCGAAUGGGGGUGGGUACUAUAGCAAAGUUUGGAUUACUGUUAUCGUAUAUUUAUCAACAUAUAGUAGUUUCCUGUAUAUUCAAUCAUGAACAAACCUGCCAGGACUCCAGUUUGGCAGAUUGUACUUUGCAGAGAAACUAGAGUCCACUUUCCAACGGACAAUGGUUCAACUCCCUGCUUUAACCUUCAGCAUGCCCCGCCCCCUUCUCUAUACUCCUUCCUGUCUUUUCUGGCUCUUAUAUCAAUAAAGGAAAAAAGGCACCAAAAAUUAGUGAAAAUCUUUACUGUUGGAGACAUUUUGUCCGUUUGUUGACCAAUUUUACGUUGACUAAUUAACAAACAAUGCACCUCCAAUGCUCUGGGAGCGAACAGACGAAGUGACGAGUUUUCACAGUUUUCCCCGAUUUACUCAUAUUGAUCAUCCAACCAAUCGCCCAAUCAGAGUCCUUUCAGGGUCCAUUUGUCCAAUUCUUCUCUCCAUCCCACAAUCGGUGAAUAAUGGACGUCAACUGGACUUUAGGUGAGUCGAAACCAUCCAUUACUCACCCCCCUCAUCAGAAGAUCUCUGCCUCCACGCUGAAGAAGCUGAUAACGCCGACCGUCUGCCAGCGUGGUUUGAUUGCUCGACAGACAAAUGUAGCCAAAGGGAAAACACUCAGCGUGAUGGAUUCAGGCGAGCUUAAUGAAAUGCUGCUGUUGUGAGCUGGCACCGCUCAGAAACUGUGGCCCUCAUAAAGGUCGCCAUGAAUCAAGUCGCUCCCUUCCCUGCCUACCACAUUUAUGAUUUUAUGAAAAGCUGACCCCAGCCGAACACAUAAAUAUCCAACCGAGUGUUUAAGAGCCGAGGAAAGAGUUUGAAAGUUUUAAAAAUCCUAAAGAGAUCCAAAUGAAUGUCAAGAGAUCCUUUUGACGUUAUCUACCGUUGAACACCUGCUCUCUACGUCUCCAACCUCAGGAAAACGGAGGGAUAACGGAGAGAGAGAAAGAAGUCAAACUAAAUCUACUAAUACCAGCUCUAGUUUUUCACCCUUUGGAGCAUCUCUACAAGAGCUGUGGCGAUACACUAAUGCGGCCAACGUGCGUCACCUUGUCCGGGUAGGUUGGUUGUAUUUCUAGAAUAUUUCACGUUUGUGUGAAACAGCCGACAAACCGCCAAACUUUUAUCUAGAUUAACUCUGUUCUUCUUCCUUUCCUUCGUUCCCACACAUCUGCUCUUAACCCUGAGAACUCCAAGCUAUAUUUUGCUAUUUUUGGUCUUUAAAAAUCUAUGAAACAACUCAAUCCUUUCGAUCACAGCAAAUCUAAACACAUCUUUUUUUUCAGGACAAUCUCAGCUUAACCAGAAAACAAAAACGGAAACUGAUCCCAACAGUAUUUCGCUCCAAAAAACACAUAAAUCUACAGUGACCAAGCCUUUUCUCACCUGAACAUCAUUCUCUCAAGUCUUGUCUAUCAGGAGAAGAAAUAUUGGGAUUGGAACAAACACACAACAGAAACUAUUGACAUAUUUACACUCAUUCUUCCAGGUGUUUUUGACUAUAUACAGUUGUUUCUGCCACUCCUUGAAGCAGUUCCUGUCUGGGAUGAGACAGAGGACCACAUCAUACUGCUCACAAUCUCUUCUCUGUUUGUUUCCAAACAUUAUUAGGACCAUUAUUUCUGAUUUUGAAGACAAGCAGGGAACUUUCUCGUCUCUUAUUGGACACUACCGUCAAAGGAACAAUAGAAGAAGAAUAUGAGACCAUGUGAUUGGUCGAGAGUUUGACAGAAAAAGACGUCAUCAAAACAGCUCGUCAAACCGGAAGACAUUAACGAUUAAGUGAUCUUUUUUUUAUCACAAUAAUCUGAUCAAUAAUCCUAUUUUCACCGGUAUAUCACUGCGGAUUUACCAUCAAACGUCUCUGAUCAAACACCUGUUUUUGUGGCUGGAUUGUAAACCUUGUAGCAGGUGUAGAAAUGUCUGGAAACCCUCAAUAGAUCGCCAAAAGGGUAAACUUUUGAACACUUUUGAUCCCGUAGAGAUACACGGUAUAGAUCCUGAGAAACUGUAAACUAUAUUAAAGGUGUCGCAUGGGAUCGCCGGCAAUCCAUCGCAGAAAUCCGAAAAUACACUUAAGGGCCGAUUUUGGACGAAAAUUUUCGGUGCAUCCCGACUUUUGAGCAUGAUGGUGCAGGAGUCAUAUUCCCUGCCAUUGUCUUAAAUGUCCUCGCUCUGACUCCAGCGGCUGGCUAACCUAAUCACUCUUCCUGCAAAGCGAACACAGUAGGGGUGUGGGGGUGUGGAGGGGCAGCUAGCAGAGUGCCGGGUGAAAAAGGGGGAUUUAAAUGAGACUUGAUGUAUUGAUACUUGUGGCUGAAAAAUCAAUACUUUCUGGGGUAAAAAAAUAUUGAUUUUUAUCCCUGAAUUGAUAAAAUCGCUAAUCUCUACAUCCUCUCCUCUUUUCUACAUCUUUAAAUUAAAGGAGUAAGAGGAGGUCGAGCGCACAGAUCAAAAUAAGCCUCCCACCUUGACUUGGUUCUCUGUUUUCUAAAAUUCCUGAUACGUCUCGUUUCUUUUCUUUCUUUCUUCCUGCAUGAAAACAGGAUGUAAGUAGUGAUGGGCGAUAAACGAUAACAAUCUUAAUUUAAUUUCCCGCAGUGUAUUAUUUUCUUUAAUAUCGUGAUGUAUCGAUAUUGACUGAUAUGAAAAAUAUAUCGUUAUAAACUUUUUCCCAUAUUGUCCAGCCCUAGAUGUAAAGGGAGGUAGAGCGUACAGCCUCACCUGGGAAGGAUGAACUCGAGCUAAAAUGAUCUUUUCCCCUCGUCUUUUUUCUGACAUCUCUCUCUCUUUCUACUUUCAAACUUCCUUUUUCACUCUUAUUGGAACGAAGGUUCAGGGAGGGCCGACCAGACACAUCAUGAGCCUACCUCCAUGAACCGCUGCUUCAUAAUCUGGUGGUGUACUCGCUCUUGCAGCCCAUCUAUCUUCAUGUUUGGAUAUGGAGACACUACAGGCCAUAUGGUAGGUUAUGUAAUUAAUCAACAGAGCACAAACGUUGGGAGGAGGAGGAGGGUGUAGAGGAUGGCUUUUUCCACUGAGCCGUAUAUGUGUUUUUCUCAGAUUGAAUCAUUAACCGAGUGUCUUACUCGUAUGAAACGAUGCAUUAUUCAACCGUAUGUCUCCUUUUAUUCCUGUUUUAUCAUCUUAACUAGAUGCAGCACAUGUCUGUUCACCGCCCGUCUGCUUCUGCCCAGAGGUUUCUGCGUGAUAGAAGAAAAGAUUUCUCCGGUCUAAACCUUCAUACUCUGUUUGAUAAGCUGACGGUGAGAGUGAGUCGGUCUGCCGCCUCAUCCUUCAGUCUGUUUGAUGUCGCUGAAAUCGUCAGAGUACAGCGAAAAAACAAUGUCAAAGAGCGACGUGUGUGUGUGUAAUGCUGACUCACUCACUAUAAGACAGCAGGUAACAGGUGCACAGGUAGCAGAUGUCUAGAAAACUAUUGUGCAGCAGUGAUCAAUAAAGCAGCGUGCGUGCGGAGGUGGACAAAUAGCGCUUCAGAGAUUUCACUUCUUCUUCUUCUUCUUCUUCAUGUGGUUUAAAACAAGAGAGGAGAGCUAUUGACAGAACACCUACAAGUGGGCCUGCAGCCAUCAUGUCAGUAUCGAACAGGCAUUAACGGUGCAGCCGAGCGCCGAACCGUGCAGGACGGCCCUCCAUCAAAAUGAGCUCAUCAGCCUGAAGGCGAACACGCAGCUGUACGACUGCGAACAGCUGUUUAAAGAGUUAAACUGAGGAGGCUGUCUGUUUGGAUGUAAACAGGAAGAACAUCUGUUUACCGUCUGGUUCUGAGGACGAGAGGACGGGCGGAGAAAAGGCUGAUGUUUAACGACACAGGUAACGACGACAAAGCUGCUUAUUAGUUAUCUUUAUAUGAGGUAGGGCUGGGCGAUAUGGCCUCAAAUCAAUAUCACGAUAUAUUGAUCAGUUCACCUCGAUAACGAUAAAUGGACGAUAACUACUCCACAAGCUGAUCACCCCCUCCCACAUUAACUUCGUCUACUUCAGCCGCUCCAACUUUCUCUCCGUCCUCCAUCUCCUCACCUGUCUUUCCCUCUUUAUUACAGACUGGAUGGGGUGGAGUCACGUCUCUGAUGUAGGACACCAUCUUAAAGGGACAUGAGACCAUAGCCUACCUACACACAUCCAAAAACAACUUUGAUUUAUUUAUUUAUUUGACAUCGAAUAUACUGAUAUGGGCUAAAUGACGUCGGUUAUUGUCGUAAAUUUUGGUAUCAGUAAAUUCUCGCUUUAUCGCCCAGCCCUACUUAAAAGGUUCAAAACUGAGCAGAACUAACGCUAACACCGUGUAGACAUUACAUAACUAGAUGCCAUCUGUUAUCCGUUUGUUUCCUCUGAGUAGGAGUGGUUCAGGCUAACGAUGGCUGCUACAGCUUAGACACAACACAAGACGAGCUUUUGGAUAAGAGGACGUGAACAUGGGCAUAGUCACGUUGGUUUAUCGCUCAGCCCUAAUAUGAGGAACAGUCAAGACUUUUUCUUUUACACACUUCAGUAGUUUAGUUAGAAUACACCAAUGUGACAAAUUAAGAGCCAAAAAGUUAAAUAAUGCAAAAUAAAAAUCUUAAAAUGAUGAAAUGUAGAGGACUGGGUCGAGGUAAUGAUCGAUAUAUAAAGAACGGAGAAGCUGACUGUCUCAUGUCGACUAAAAACAGAAACUUUUAAAAAAUACAGGAAAAACUGGGCUGAUUUUGAGUCUCAAUUGAGAGCAGACUUAUAGAUUAUUGAUCCUUUUGGUUCAAACUUGUUCAUUAUUCAUAUGUUUAUUAUGUUUAUUAUGUUUAUUAUGUUUACCCCCCAACAGAAGAAAAGAGACAAAGAAAGAGAGGAGUGAAAAAAGGACAUGAGUGAAAAGUGUUUUAUUUUACUUCCCAGUAAUUCUCCUGUAACUUAAGAAGUUUAUGUCCAUGUGACGGAGAAAUAUGAUAUACAGUUG
rnacentral:lncRNA from 1 species